UUGGAUGUAGCCAAGUUUGGUAAGGCAUCGAAAUUUGAAUUCGAUUAUCGGGAGUUCAAAUCUCUCCAUCCAAU
rnacentral:tRNA from 2 species